CCAACGGCCCUCUUUAGGGCCACAAAUUAGUUCCAAACC
rfam:Strigamia maritima strain Brora ctg7180001203195, whole genome shotgun sequence.